GAUGAACGCUAGCGGCAGGCCUAACACAUGCAAGUCGAGGGGUAGAAGGAGCUUGCUCCUUUGAGACCGGCGCACGGGUGCGUAACGCGUAUGCAAUCUACCUUUUACAGAGGGAUAGCCCAGAGAAAUUUGGAUUAAUACCUCAUAGUAUAUAUCAUUCGCAUGUUUGGUAUAUUAAAGUUCCAACGGUAAAAGAUGAGCAUGCGUCCCAUUAGUUAGUUGGUAAGGUAACGGCUUACCAAGACGAUGAUGGGUAGGGGUCCUGAGAGGGAGCUCCCCCACACUGGUACUGAGACACGGACCAGACUCCUACGGGAGGCAGCAGUGAGGAAUAUUGGUCAAUGGACGCAAGUCUGAACCAGCCAUGCCGCGUGCAGGAAGACGGUCCUAUGGAUUGUAAACUGCUUUUGUACGGGAAGAAACACUCCUACGUGUAGGAGCCUGACGGUACCGUAAGAAUAAGGAUCGGCUAACUCCGUGCCAGCCGCCGCAGUAA
rnacentral:rRNA from 1 species